UACGUAGGGUGCAAGCGUUGUCCGGAAUUAUUGGGCGCAAAGAGCUCGUAGGCGGUCUGUCGCGUCGGCUGUGAAAUCCCGGAGCUCAACUCCGGGUCUGCAGUCGAUACGGGCAAACUGGAGUACUGCAGGGGAGACUGGAAUUCCUGGUGUAGCGGUGAAAUGCGCAGAUAUCAGGAGGAACACCGGUGGCGAAGGCGGGUCUCUGGGCAGUAACUGACGCUGGAGGAGCGAAAGCGUGGGGAGCGAACAGG
rnacentral:rRNA from 1 species